rnacentral:rRNA from 1 species
ACUCCUACGGGAGGCAGCAGUGGGGAAUAUUGCACAAUGGGCGCAAGCCUGAUGCUGCCAUGCCGCGUGUGUGAAGAAGGCCUUCGGGUUGUAAAGCACUUUCAGUUGUGAGGAAGGUGGUGUCGUUAAUAGCGGCAUCAUUUGACGUUAGCAACAGAAGAAGCACCGGCUAACUCCGUGCCAGCAGCCGCGGUAAUACGGAGGGUGCGAGCGUUAAUCGGAAUUACUGGGCGUAAAGCGCAUGCAGGUGGUUUGUUAAGUCAGAUGUGAAAGCCCGGGGCUCAACCUCGGAACUGCAUUUGAAACUGGCAGACUAGAGUACUGUAGAGGGGGGUAGAAUUUCAGGUGUAGCGGUGAAAUGCGUAGAGAUCUGAAGGAAUACCGGUGGCGAAGGCGGCCCCCUGGACAGAUACUGACACUCAGAUGCGAAAGCGUGGGGAGCAAACAGGAUUAGAUACCCUGGUAGCACAGAG